rnacentral:lncRNA from 1 species
GAAAAAUUUAGGCACAUGAAAGAGGGAAACGAACAGCCUUUUCCAAUUGCAUUCCAGUCUCCUUUUCCACUCUCCAGACCUGAGAACACAUUCCAAUCCAGAAUUUAUCCCUAAAACCUACUCCAAUCCGGAAUUAAUCUCCAAAAACCACUACUCUACUAGUCUACCACUGCAAAAGUUCCAGCGAAAUCCAGAGGUUGGGCUGCUGCGGCACGUUCGCACACAGAGAGUUUGCAUUUCACAAACGGCUAAGGUCUUACAAAUUCGGAGGUUGGUUUCCAUGUAUUUUAGCAAAUUGAAAACCCUUGAAAAUCUUUCCAUGACUUUCGUUUUUAUUAGGGUUUUAAGAUUAAAAUAUCUGAAAUCUUCUUCACAUAAAUAAAGCAAUAAAAAUCCUAACAAGAAUUAAACAACUAAAGCCAUCACCUCAAAAUCUCUAAAUUUCAAUUUCUCAAUUCGAAAAUCAUGAGCAUAGUACAGAUUUACAUAUUGCAGUCGAUGUCGAUAUACCUGUGUUUGUGUAUGUUGUGAUAAAAAUUAAAAUUUAAAAAGUACUUGACUGAGAAUCAGAAAUGGGUUUUGCUUAAUUUGAAGAAGGGUCUCUUGAUCUGCAAUUUUGCAACAAAUUUGAAGUAAAAAGAAAAAAAGAAAAAGAACUAAUGAGUGAUGAAUGCAAGCUUGGACUCGAACACUACGGAUUGCAGAAACUAGACUUCAGUUUUUAGUCUUCUGGUUGCAAUAAUUUUAGGAAUUUUUCAAUAAGUAAUAUUAUAUUAAGUAGUAGGGAUAAGGGAUGAUAUGUGGGGUCCGGGGUCUCAAGAGAUUUUGGGAAAAUACAUAAUAUACAUUUUUGUGUUUUAUGCUUGGAAUGGUGAUAAAUGUGUUCACAGAAAAGUGUAAUUCCAUAUUAACAACUCCUCCAAAUGAUAUAAAAGUAUGACUACAUAUGAUGAGAAUGUGAUAUUAUUUUACAUUUUUUUGUUUUGUAAAAUUGUUAGCCAACAAAAACUGAUUAAAUUUUUUUAUUCAGUUUGAAUAAAUUGAAGCUUAUUUCACAUUUUUCCGUUUCUUGAAGUUAUUGCACGUUGAGGUUAAGAUCCAAAAAUGCAUUUUUAUUUUUUAAAAGUUUAUUCUCUCCUUUUUCUGAGUGUGUGAUCUAUUCUCUCUUUGUUUUGUUUAUUUCUUGGUGGCAGCAGAAUUGCCUGAUAAUCGGACUCUUCGUUUUCGACUGCAACCCAGAACAGUCGCAUUGUCUACUUCAAUCACCACGCAACCACCAUUACCACCAAUUUCUGAAUCCUUUCAUUUUGGGGACUCAUCAAUCAGGUUUUAUCGCUCUUUGUUGAUGAUUAUGUCUACAAGAAAAUUUGAAUCAGGAUGUACCAAAAGGAAAAGGUUGAAAAGUUGAUUAAAUCUCAAGAGGGAGCAUUUGAUAAGUUUUUUAAUAGUAGUAAAUGAACACCUAAUGAAGACGUAGUUACUAAAGAAGUAUUUAAUGAGGAUGAUAACAGAAAUAAUAUAAUUGAGGAAGAACAUUAUGUGAUGAAUGAAGAGGUAUCUCCUGACAGAGAUAAUGAACCAUUUUCUCUUGAGCUUAUUGAUCCAACAAAUUGGGGAAAUAUGAAUAGGAAUUAGAGAUUUAAUUGUAAUGAAAGGUCCUAUAAGAGAAAAUGAUAUGCUUUUUCCGAAAGAUAGAGCAAAUCGACACUUCUCAUACACACAUUACGUUCGACGAUUACGUAAUGGAGAGAAACAUGAUAAAAAAUGGUUGAUAUAUUCAAAAAGUUUGGAUAAAGUAUUUUGUUUUUGUUGUAAGCUAUUCAAUAAUGAUGGGAUCAGACUUCAAUUGGCACAUGAUGGAGUAAAUGAUUGGAAAAAUAUUAACGAAAAACUUAAAAUGCAUGAAGUAAGUUGUGACCACAUCAAUAACAUGAGUAAAUGGAUAGAAAUGAAAUUAAGAUUCGAAAAGAGUAAAACAAUUGAUAAAAGUGUGCAAGAACAAAUCAAUAGGGAUAGAGAACAUUGGAGACAAGUAUUACUGAGAAUAAUAUCUGUGGUGAAAACUCUUGCUGAAAAUAAUUUAGCAUAUCGUGGGAAUAAUGAGAAGAUAUAUCAAGAAAAUAAUAGUAUCUUCUUAAGUAUGAUUCAAAUGAUUGCUGAGUUCGAUCCCGUAAUGCAAGAGCAUGUUGGUUGAAUAAAAAAUAAAGAGAUUCAUUAUCAUUAUUUGGAUACAAGAUUCAGAUGAGUUGAUACUUAUGCUAGCGGGUGAGAUAAAAAAAGUAAUCAUUGAGAAGCUAAAAAAUUCUAAAUAUUUUUCUGUUAUACUUGAUUGCACUCUAAAUACAAGUCACGAAGAACAAAUGUCUAUAAUAUUGAGGUGUGUAGAUAUUUCGAUGAGUCCAGUGAAUGUUGAAGAAUUGUUUUUAGGGUUUUUAUUGUUGGAUGAUACAUUAGGUAAGAAACUUUUUGAUAAACCGGUGGAUGUUUUGAAUAAUCUAGAACUUGAUAUUGACAAUGUAAGGGGUCAAGAUUAUGAUAAUGGUGCUAACAUGAAAGGACAAUAUAAAGGAGUUCAAAGUAGACUAUUACAACUAAAUCCUAGAAGAUUCUAUUGUCCUUGUGGAUGUUAUAGUCUUAAUCUUGCACUUUGUGAUAUGGCCACUUGUUGUUCAAAAGCUAAAUCUUUCUAUGGGUCGGUGCAACGUAUAUACACUUUAGUUUCUUCAUCUACUAAACGGUGGAAAAUUUUCAAAGAAAAUGUAACUGGUCUUACCCUUAAGCCCUUGUCACAAUCUCGUUGGGAAAGCUAUAUUGAAAGUGUUAGAGCAAUAAGAUUUCAAACUUCACAGAUAAAAAAAGUAUUAUUUCAAUUAGCAAAUGUUGAUGAUCCUAAGACAAAAAGUGAGGCAGAGUGUUUGGUAACAUAUGAAAUUAACAAAUUUGUAUUCUUGCUUGGGAUGAUUAUUUGGUAUGAGGUGUUGAAUAAUGUUAACAAAGUAAGCAAACAUUUGCAAGAAGAAGACAUGCAUAUUGAUGUUGCCAUAGAUCAUUUAAAAGGCCUCAUUUCAUUUUUCAAAAGUUAUAGAGAAUCUGGUUUUGAAUCGACCAUGGUUGAUGCUAAAGAAAUUGUAAGUGAAUUAGAAAUUGAACCGAAAUUUUGUAAAAGUUAUACAUAGAAAAAAGCAGUUUGAUGAGAUUUCUUCUAAAGAGAUAAUAUAAACAGCUGAAGAAUCUUUUAAGAUCAAUUAUUUCAUAUAUAUAUAUAUAUAUAUAGUGGAUCAAGCUCUAUCAUCACUUCAGAAUAGAUUUGAGCAAUUUCAGAAAUAUGAUAAUACUUUUGGAUUUUUAUUUGAUUUGAAAAGACUUAAAUCUGUUGAUGAUGAUGUUUUGAGGUGUUCUUGCAUUAAACUUGAAAAUUACUUGAAGCAUAAUACAAUUUCUGAUAUUGCUGGAAUAUAAUUAUUUUCUGAGUUGAAAGUUUUAAGGGCAGUGAUACUUGCAAACAUUUUUGGAGCAAUUGAUGUAUUGGAUUAUAUUAAGAGAAUGAACAGUUGUUUUGCAAAUUCCUACAUUGCUUAUAGAGUAUUAUUGAAUAUUCUUGUAACGGUUGUCUUUGCUGAAAGAAGUUUUUCAAAGUUGAAGUUGGUUAAAUCUUAUCUUCGAUCAUCCAUGUCACAAGAGCGAUUGAAUGUAUUAGCUAUGAUUUCUAUUGAAAAAAAUAUGUUGCAAAAACUUGAUGUUAGUAGUUUGAUUACUAAUUUUACAUCUCAAAAUGUGAGAAAGUUAAAUCUUAUGCUAGCCUAAUCUUUCGGGUUGUGAAAGAAGUUUUAUUUUGUUAUUCUAUCUUUUGAAUUGUAUAACGUUUUCUUUCUAAUGUAAAAGUGUUAAUUAUUCAAAUAUUUACAUAUUGUUAGACUUGUAAAAUAAAUUUUGUGUUGAGGGGGCCCCAUAAUAAUUAAACGCCUAGGGUCUCUAAAUUCUCAGGGCCGGCCUUG